rnacentral:lncRNA from 1 species
AGUCCUCCCCUCCAACAAAAAAUAGGAAAGUCCAUAUGUACUCAAAUAAAUGCCUUUACCACAUGAAUGACAUUCCAAAUAGAACAAAUUAGGAAAAUCACUUUACCCAAUAGUCUCCAUAAGAGUUGCCUUUACCCAAUUGAUUGCACCACUAGCACCCUUUGUUGUACACCACAAUUUCCAAAAUCACCUUCACCACAAGUUUCUUCCUCACCACAAUUUCUAAUAGAAUCUUCACCACCACUUUGUUCUUCAUCCGAGCCCACCGAUAAAUCAUCCUCAUCUACCACAUCCUCCAAGUUGGCAACAUCAAAAUCAUUGUUCACUCUACAUAUAUCAAAGU